rnacentral:snoRNA from 1 species
CCACCAUGUUAGAACUUGGAGCCAAGACCACUGACUAGCCCAGGACCUCAAAAACACAGGUGGAAUGCUAUGUGAAAGGUGAGUUUUCUCUAACACCAACAAGGGUGUCUGACCACAGCGGAAUGUGACAGCCAUCCUCGCUAAAAAA